GCAUAACGCGAAGAACCUUACCAAGGCUUGACAUACACCAGAACACCCUGGAAACAGGGGACUCUUUGGACACUGGUGAACAGGUGGUGCAUGGUUGUCGUCAGCUCGUGUCGUGAGAUGUUGGGUUAAGUCCCGCAACGAGCGCAACCCUCGUUCUAUGUUGCCAGCACGUUAUGGUGGGAACUCAUGGGAUACUGCCGGGGUCAACUCGGAGGAAGGUGGGGAUGACGUCAAAUCAUCAUGCCCCUUAUGUCUUGGGCUUCACGCAUGCUACAAUGGCCGGUACAAAGGGCUGCAAUACCGUGAGGUGGAGCGAAUCCCAAAAAGCCGGUCCCAGUUCGGAUUGAGGUCUGCAACUCGACCUCAUGAAGUCGGAGUCGCUAGUAAUCGCAGAUCAGCAACGCUGCGGUGAAUACGUUCCCGGGUCUUGUACACACCG
rnacentral:rRNA from 1 species